rnacentral:rRNA from 1 species
CCUUACGGCCAUACCACCGUGCACACACCCGAUAAGCAGGGUAGGGCCUGGUUAACUACCUGAAUGGGAGACUACCUGGGAAUAGCAAAUGCUGUAAGAC